UUACGUUAAGACGAUGGCCUGGGCACAAAUUUACUAACUGAUUACAUUUUCACUUUUGAAGGCCUCCUGCGUGGUCAAAAUGGACAUUGUGAGGACGUUUUUGAAAGGAUGGGGGACACAACAGGGGGCGCCCAUCUGCAUACAGCAAAAUGGAAGUACACCUGCUGUUGCUGGCUGAGACUUAACCAUGAAAGAAGAAAGUCGUUCAGGAUAUUUUUUACUUAUGAAGGCCUGCUAUGUGGUCAAAGUGGACGCUUUGUGAACGUUUCUGAAACGAGCAAGACACUGCAGGCCAGGAAGAUAAUUAUUCACAAGCUUCAUCGCUAAUACAAUGCUAACAGAGGGUGAAACUACAGUAUUUUACUCAUUGCCCACCAGCAAGUUAAAAGCCAAUCCUUGUGUUCCGAACGUCACCAAGCACCUGUGGCUGCUGGCUGAUCAAUCCGGGACCCGUGGCGACAGAAGAGACCAGUCCGUCCAGCUCACUGUAAUUAGCACGGGCCCUGUUGAUUCACCGAUAAUGAGCGGCAGUUCAUUAGCUCUGCGCUAAUUGCCGCCCCCCCAGCACCUACCACCCACGGCUGCACUCCCCAAAAACUUUUCUCAUCUGCGAGAUAAAAGCAAAAAGAUGGGUAACCUGUUGGGAAAUGGGAGCGGAAACAGAUGGAGAAUGGUAUUUGCAUUCAUUUGGACUUAUUCUAGCAUGAAUGUGAAAGUGAUUGCGCAGAUGCACGUAGGCAGGAUGCAGUUUUGUCCAAGGACACUAUGGAGAGAGUCUGUACACUAAUUGUGAGCCACUGUUUGCUGAUUCAGCCUCGACUCAACCACUGCUGGCAUAUUUACGUCAAGGCAGAAAAAAAAAAAAAAAAAAAAAUAUUAAGCUGGAAUUGAAUAUUAUAUUGUUCAGAAAUCAUAAAUAUGAAAUUCAACAUCUUGUUCUUGAUUGGGUAUGGUUCUGAGAAUAAAAAUGUUAUCCUUCAUCCUUUAUUAACAAACACAUUUAAUGCAAACAUGGACAUAAAUCUUCAUAGACAAAAAAGACGCCACCACUUCAGGGCAUCAUUUCUUGCUUAUCUUUGUUUGCACAUCUGCGCUAAUUGCUCAUCAAAAGCUAAUUGAUGUUGUUAAUUUAUGCUGUUCACGACACUACAAUGUACCACUUUGUUAGGUACACCUGUUCAAACGACUAAACAUUAACUCACUGACUGCCAUUGUUUGCGCUAAACAUCCAUUCCAUUAUUUACGAAUGAUUGCUGUGUCAUAGCAUUUCUCCUAUUUACAAGUGUUGAGUCCGCCUUCCCUCCUUCCACCCGUUAUUAUACUCACUUAGAUGAUGAAAAACAUUUUAAUUUCGGUAAAGAUAGUGGAAUAUCUGGCCUUUAAACUAAACUGUUUCUGCGACUGGAACUAUUUGAGUUCCUAGGAACGUUUUUAGACUCAGGAGAAGUACCUACGAUACGGUAAGAAGACAAGCUCGAAAGACUUUUUAAUUGAGAUCUAAACAAGUAUCUCCAACUACAUGGAACUUAAAAUAGGUUGAUACUGCAGGUCUUAAUCCACAAAUCUAAUUUUUUCGUGUUUUUCCGAGUCGAGUGAGACAUUAUUUUGACGGUCUGAACGGGACCGUUGCAUAAAAGUGGACCAUUUCAUAUCCGAUCUGGGUCACAUAUGUAUGUGGUUAAAAUCCAAUGUGGGCCAUAUUUUUCCAGAAUGUGGCUGCUGUCUGAACUGUCAAGUCUCCCAAAUCGAAAUUCAUGCAGCAAUUAUGUCAG